rnacentral:rRNA from 1 species
GACGAACGCUGGCGGCGUGCUUAACACAUGCAAGUCGAACGGAAAGGCCCUGCUUGCAGGGUACUCGAGUGGCGAACGGGUGAGUAACACGUGGGUGAUCUGCCCUGCACUUCGGGAUAAGCUUGGGAAACUGGGUCUAAUACCGGAGAGGAGCCAUCUUUAGUGUGGUGGUUGGAAAGUUUUUUCGGUGUUGGAUGAGCUCGCGGCCUAUCAGCUUGUUGGUGGGGUAAUGGCCUACCAAGGGGGCGAGGGGUAGCCGGCCUGAGAGGGUGUACGGCCACAUUGGGGCUGAGAUACGGCGCAGACUCCUACGGGGGGCAGCAGUGGGGAAUAUUGUACACUGGGGGCGAGCCUGAUGCAGCGCCGCCGCGUGGGGGAUGAAGGCCUUCGGGUUGUAAAAUCCUUUCGCUAGGGACGCAGAGUUGUUGUGACGGUACCUAGAUAAGAAGCACCGGCUAACUACGUG